AUCAAAUCACCCGGCAGGCUGGUGCCCUUGGGACAGGUCCUCAGAGAAGGAGGGGUGAAGUGAGGAUCUGCAGGAAGCAGUAUCCUUGCAGUGCCCCUGGGAAGAGUCCACGCCUUCAGCCUGAACUAUGCUGGCAGGACCUGUGAGGUCCUGGUGAUGUGCCAGGGAGGAGCCUUUGGAUGUUAGGCCCUUCCUGCAGCUCCAUGAUGGUUACCUGGAAUAUCCUGAAACGUCUUUGGGAGUAUACAGCAACUUGUUGGCUGAGGAUGAGAACUGCCUAGUGGGAUUCCUGGCCGGGAGAGCUCCAUCAGGCUGUAGACCAUGG